rnacentral:rRNA from 1 species
UACGGAGGAUGCAAGUGUUAUCCGGAAUCACUGGGCGUAAAGCGUCUGUAGGUGGUUUAUUAAGUCAACUGUUAAAUCUUGAGGCUCAACCUCAAAAUCGCAGUCGAAACUAUUAGGCUAGAGUAUAGUAGGGGUAAAGGGAAUUUCCAGUGGAGCGGUGAAAUGCAUUGAGAUCGGAAAGAACACCAACGGCGAAAGCACUCUGCUGGGCAGACACUGACACUGAGAGACGAAAGCUAGGGGAUCAAAUGGG